GAAGUCAGCAAUGGCGGUCGAAAAGAAUGGUAAAGUCACAAAGAAUACUGUUUGUUCGUGGAUUGGCGUUUGUGACUGAAUCCAUCGAUGUUACUAAUUAUUUGAAGAAAUCUGGGGAGUCAGCACCCUGCUGAAUUGUAGUGAACGAGAUGUCCAAUCUACUAGACCAUCAAAGACGCAGAUUUGGAUUUUCUAUUUCAUAGUUAUUGAAAUCAUAAUGAGAAUGAAGUACUGCCACUAAGUCGUAUUGGAUAUGUUGCAAGGAGCUGUUCUCAAAACAUUGGGUGACAAAGAAUUCACUUUUACAAAAAUCGAGCAGGAUAUUAAAGACAGCGAACUAUAGAACAAAUAUGGUGAAGAUGAAUG